GACGGACGCUGGCGGCGUGCUUAACACGUGCAAGUCGAACGGAAAGGCCCUGCUUUUGUGGGGUGCUCGAGUGGCGAACGGGUGAGUAACACGUGAGUAACCUGCCCUUGACUUUGGGAUAACUUCAGGAAACUGGGGCUAAUACCGGAUAGGAGCUCCUGCUGCAUGGUGGGGGUUGGAAAGUUUCGGCGGUUGGGGAUGGACUCGCGGCUUAUCAGCUUGUUGGUGGGGUAGUGGCUUACCAAGGCUUUGACGGGUAGCCGGCCUGAGAGGGUGACCGGCCACAUUGGGACUGAGAUACGGCCCAGACUCCUACGGGAGGCAGCAGUGGGGAAUAUUGCACAAUGGGCGGAAGCCUGAUGCAGCAACGCCGCGUGCGGGAUGACGGCCUUCGGGUUGUAAACCGCUUUCGCCUGUGACGAAGCGUGAGUGACGGUAAUGGGUAAAGAAGCACCGGCUAACUACGUG
rnacentral:rRNA from 1 species